AACGAACGCUGGCGGCAUGCCUAACACAUGCAGGUCGAACGAAGGCUUCGGCCUUAGUGGCGCACGGGUGCGUAACGCGUGGGAAUCUGCCCUUUGGUUCGGAAUAACAGCUGGAAACGGCUGCUAAUACCGGAUGAUGACGAAAGUCCAAAGAUUUAUCGCCAGAGGAUGAGCCCGCGUUGGAUUAGGUAGUUGGUGGGGUAAAGGCCUACCAAGCCGACGAUCCAUAGCUGGUCUGAGAGGAUGAUCAGCCACACUGGGACUGAGACACGGCCCAGACUCCUACGGGAGGCAGCAGUGGGGAAUAUUGGACAAGGGGUGCAAGCCUGAUCCAGCAAUGCCGCGUGAGUGAUGAAGGCCCUAGGGUUGUAAAGCUCUUUUACCCGGGAAGAUAAUGACUGUACCGGGAGAAUAAGCCCCGGCUAACUCCGUG
rnacentral:rRNA from 1 species